UGGCGGGAGGGUGAGUAAUGUCUGGGGAAACUGCCCGAUGGGGGGGGAUAACUACUGGAAACGGUAGCUAAUACCGCAUAACGUCGCAAGACCAAAGGAGGGGGACCUUAGGGCCUCUUGCCAUCGGAUGUGCCCAGAUGGGAUUAGCUAGUAGGUGGGGUAAAGGCUCACCUAGGCGACGAUCCCUAGCUGGUCUGAGAGGAUGACCAGCCACACUGGAACUGAGACACGGUCCAG
rnacentral:rRNA from 1 species